AUGCCUUAAACUGAUGAGUAAGGAAAAUAACGACGCGGGGUGACGCCCGUGUCCUCGUGUAACUUACGAGAUAAAUUUUUGAACGGGUAAAGGUCUGCCUGUUAGCGGUGACUCACCUACUUUGUGAGAUGCCCUGCAGGGCUAGGAUCUGCCCG